rnacentral:rRNA from 1 species
GUGGGGAAUAUUGGACAAUGGGGGGAACCCUGAUCCAGCCAUGCCGCGUGUGUGAAGAAGGCCUUUUGGUUGUAAAGCACUUUAAGCGAGGAGGAGGCUACCGAGAUUAAUACUCUUGGAUAGUGGACGUUACUCGCAGAAUAAGCACCGGCUAACUCUGUGCCAGCAGCCGCGGUAAUACAGAGGGUGCAAGCGUUAAUCGGAUUUACUGGGCGUAAAGCGCGCGUAGGUGGCCAAUUAAGUCAAAUGUGAAAUCCCCGAGCUUAACUUGGGAAUUGCAAUCGAUAAUGGUUGGCUAGAGUAUGGGAGAGGAUGGUAGAAUUCCAGGUGUAGCGGUGAAAUGCGUAGAGAGCUGGAGGAAUACCGAUGGCGAAGGCAGCCAUCUGGCCUAAUACUGACACUGAGGUGCGAAAGCAUGGGGAGCAAACAGGAUUAGAAACCCUAGUAGUCC